rnacentral:lncRNA from 1 species
UGUAAAUGAGAAAGUUAUCUGAUUGAUAUGAUUUUAAUCCAAUUAAAUCUUACCAUAUCAUAUGUUGGUAAACCAUUAUGUAAAUUGUUAUGUACAUAUAACAAAAUCCAUAAAUAAGAUCCUAUUACAAGAAGAAAUAAUUAUCUGACCUAUUUUUAAUAAAAUUAUCCCACAUCAAAAUCUAAAUUAUAAAAUACCCACAAUCAUUCAAGUAAGAAUUCGGAAUUCCAUAUUCAGAAGUAGCAGUAGUAGCCAUAAUCCUUCUUUUCAAAAAUAAAUGAAGUAUUGAUAUGAAUAUGCCCAAAUCUGAAAAAAGAGAAAAUGUUGGAAAAUUUAUAUGAAGUACAACCUUAAUUAAUAUAAUUUUAGCCACUGUUCAUUGUCCAUUAUGGGGAACGUUAAAAGUUUUGAAUAAUAUUUUUUGGAGAAUGUGUGGUUAAAAAGUAAAGAAAUUUUAUUGGUUUGUGUGUAGAAUAAUUUAUUGUGUGAAUGUGUGGUGAAAAAUAAUACAGUUGCGAACAAUUUAAAAUUUUAGACGGUGACAAGAAGUCACUUAAUGUAAUGAUGUAGUUUGAAAGUCUCAACGAGUUUCUUUAUAUAUCUGUUUCAUGUGAUAAUGGAAAUGGUAAAAGUCACAUAUUGUGAGACUUUCGUAAAUUGAAUUCAAAUUAAUUCUAGAAAAUGAAAUCAGAUUAGUUCUAAAAUUUAAGAAAAUUUUAAUUCUUAAUUAUAUUAGAGCAAAUAAAUUUACACUUUUAAAAUAAUUAGGGUCUCCACGGGCCUCUAAAAUUAAGGUAAGUGGUUCUAUUCAAAGAAUUUGUAAAGAGGACAUAAAAGGACUUAUUUGCCAUCAUAAUUUUAAAUAAUAAAACAAACACUUUCAGAAGAAUAUUUGCCCCUCAUUUCCUUUUUUUUUUUUUUUUCAUUUUCAUUUUAUAAAUAUUAAAAUUACCAUAUUUUCUUUGUUGGUGAAUGAUUUAAUUUAAAAUAAUGAAACUAUCAUUUUGCUAUUUUUCUACAUUUAAUGAUAAAGUAGAUUGACAAACUGAAAAAUAGAUGAAACUUCUCAAUCCAGAUGAAUGACGUUGAUGAUACAGUUAUUCAAAAAAUAAAAGUUGGAGACGUAUUUGCGAACAAAAUGUUAAAGUUGUGAACCUUUACUACAAUGACUAUGUCUGGUCCAAUUUUAAAUUUGAAAAUAUAAGUUAAAAUCAAUAAUUAAUUAUAAGUACAUAUUUUAUAGGAUAUAUAAUUUUUAAUUAUACAUUUUAUCAAUUUUUAUAUAAAAAUUUAUCUUUUUGAUGGUCAUGUUCGGUUGCGAUUAUGAGAAUUGAUUUUUUGAUUGUUGGAGAUAAAAGUGAAUCUCACUUAUGAGUGAAGAAGAAAAAAAUGACAAUUAAAAUAGUAAAAUAAUUGUCAAAAAAUUAAUUUUUAAAAAUAAAAAAUUUCUAUCAAAUGAGGUCUAUAUGUCCUUCGAUCUAGGCUUCUAACAUAUCAUUCAAAGGGCAUUUUUGUCAGUUUAUCAGCCCACAACAUCUCAGCAUUCUUAACUUUCACAAUAUUUCAGAUUUUUCUUGCAUAUUACAUUUCGUACCUCCCAUUGUCACACACACUCUCUCUAUCUAUUUUUUUGUUUUUUGAAUUUUUUUCUCAAACCUCUGCAACAAAUCCUGACCUUAAACGACAAAAUUUGUUGCAAAUUACAAAUGAGUUCUACAAUCCCAUUUCUGGACCUCAAUCUAUAUCCUGAUCCCAGUUUCUCCCCUGUAACCUCAACCUUACAUACACCCAAAAUUGAGCCAAAGCUUGAACCCAUAGAUGAACCACCGCCGCCUCCGCCGCCAUCCGGUGCUAAUUCACAACCCGACCUCAAACCCUCCAUUCCAUCAGCGUCAACUCCGUUUCCUACUUCUUCUUCUGAACCAGAUUUGUGCUCUGAAUUUCACCGCAUUUCCGACCUCUUCCGCUCAGCUUUUGCCCAGGGUGUUCAGAGGCACGACCAGGUCUCCAUUAUCCCUGAGUCCGAUCCUAAUUAUGGGGCUAUCGUCCCAGUUGCCAAGAACGAAGCCCAGCUUCCGGCUGUUGUUAUUUCGCCUCGGGGAACUCGCAAGUACCCUCAACGCUCAUCUGAGCUAGUCCGGGUUACGGAUCUUAAGGCUGAUGACCACCGUUACUUCCGGGACCUAAUCAGACGGACCAGGAUGCUCUAUGACUCCCUGCGUAUAUUUUCUACCUCAGAGGAUGAUAAACACCGUGAUUUGCUGGUCCCUCAGAAGAAGACAAGAGGGGAUUUGAAAGCGGCAGCACUAAUGAGAGAUGCAGGUUUGUGGUUGAAUCGUGAUAAGAGGAUCUUGGGUGAAAUCCCUGGUAUAGCAAUUGGCGAUGUCUUCUUUUUCAGAAUGGAGUUGGUUGUUGUCGGGUUGCACGGUCAUCCUCAGGCCGGGAUUGAUUAUGUCCCAGCCAGUCAGAGCUCGAACAGAGAACCGAUAGCCACCAGCAUUAUUGUUUCUGGGGGUUAUGAGGAUGAUGAAGAUGGAGGGGAUGUGAUCAUUUAUACUGGUCAUGGUGGACAGGACAAACAUAACAGGCAGGCAAUGCACCAAAAAUUGGAAAGUGGUAAUUUGGCCAUGGAGAGGAGCAUGUAUUAUGGCUUGGAGGUAAGGGUAAUUCGUGGUUUUAAGUAUGAAGGUGGUGCUAGUGGUAAAGUUUAUGUUUAUGAUGGCUUAUACAGGAUAACUGACACUUGGUUUGAUGUGGGGAAGUCGGGGUUUGGGGUUUAUAAGUUCAAACUUGUUAGGAUUGAAAAUCAGGUGGAAAUGGGAAGUAGCCUUAUGAAGUUUGCGAGGAAACUUAGGGUUCGGCCACUGGAAGUGCGUCCUAAAGGUUACAUCACACUUGAUUUAUCUAGAAAAAAGGAGAAUGUGCCGGUGUUUUUCUUUAAUGAUAUUGAUGAGGACUAUGGGCCUGUUUAUCAUGAGUAUCUUAUUACAACCAUUUUCCCGUCGUAUGUUUUUAAUUAUGGAAAUGGUAUGGGAUGUGAGUGUGUUGGGGGAUGUUGGGAUAAUUGCUUUUGUGCACAGAAAAAUGGGGGUGAGUUUGCCUAUGAUUCAAAUGGGAUUCUUGUGAGGGGAAAACCAUUGAUUUUUGAGUGUGGGCCCCACUGUCGUUGCCCUCCUAGUUGCCGUAAUCGUGUGACCCAAAAGGGAACUAAGAAUCGGUUUGAAGUGUUUAGGUCUAGGGAGACACAAUGGGGAGUGAGGUCAUUGGACUUGAUCCAAGCUGGCUCUUUUAUUUGCGAGUACGCAGGAGUUGUUUUAACGCGUGAGCAAGCCCAGAUUUUUACAAUGAAUGGUGAUAGUUUGAUUUAUCCAAGUCGUUUUGGUGACAGAUGGGCUGAGUGGGGGGAUUUAUCACAGAUAUUUUCUGACUAUGUUCGACCAUCUUAUCCACCAAUUCCUCCUUUGGAUUUUGCCAUGGAUGUAUCGAGAAUGAGAAAUGUAGCAUGUUAUAUGAGCCAGAGUUCAAUUCCAAACGUUAUGGUACAGCCCGUGCUGUAUGAUCACAAUAAUGUAUCUUUCCCUCACCUUAUGCUGUUUGCUACAGAAAAUAUUCCUCCUAUGAAGGAGAUUAGUCUUGAUUAUGGGGUUGCUACUGCUGAUUUACAUAUGCUAUGACAUUUAGUUGGUCAAUAUGGACGCUGUAGCUUUUUUAGAGACGUAUGUCAUUUAUAUUACACUUGAAUGGAGUCCUUAACGAUUCUUUACUGCAGAAAGUUAUGUGCCAUUACCAUAAUCCAAACAUUUGCUGAACAAUAAGGUCAUAUGAAUCCUCUCAUGAUCUUCAGACAUGGUUACUUCAUUGCUAUAUUUGUUAUUUAUAAAUAGAACUAGCAGACGUUUCUGGUUCAAUUUUUUCUUGGGACAAAAUUAUUUGUUAUUUCUAAAUAGAACUAGCAGACGUUACUUCAUUGUAUAAGAUCAACAGCCUCGUUUAUUUUCUUACUGUUGGCUUUGAAAUUGUCAGUCCAUUCUAUCCUUUUUCUAGAGGUAUAUUGGCCAGGAAUGCUAAAGAUAGACAACUUUAACAUGAUAUUUUCGCAAUAAAUAAGCUAUUAGUGUUUCAGAAAUUUCCAGAAAUUACGUUCAAAUGUAAACUAUUGUUUGCUGACAAAGUUUCCUCUUGCAGAUGUAAAAGAUGGAAGUGUGCGGGAUUCCUUUUCCGGUUGACAUAGACUAAAUACAUAUGCCUAAAAAUUUUGCUCAGCUGCGAGUCUGCUGGAUGGAAUCCUUUACCAUGCUUCUGAAGAAACCCUAACGCCACCAAAUCCAAGCGAAGAAUUUAACAAGUUUCAAUUACUUUUUGCAUGACUUAUAAUCUUGUGAUUUUAGCUUUGUAUAUAACAGAAUUAGUACAGCAAAAAUUGUUGUACAAAAAAUGUAGGUGCCUUGUUGGAUGAUUUCCAGUUCUAAAUCCUAAUACAGUCAUUUCUGUAAUUUCAGUUACUUUGCUGAAAUCUAAUCUCAAACAGGGUAUGAAGGGAAAGAACUUUGUUUUGUAUGAUACUGUGCAAAACAGUACAUGUCCGGUGGUAAAAAUUGAAUUGUACUGGACAAUAUUAAGGAAGAAAAGAAAGUGAUAUUAUGUUUAUUACAUUGUCAAGUCUGUUUCUGAUUUAGUAUUGUGCGUCGUACAUGCACUGAGUUCGUUGGAAGUGGCAGUGGAAGACUAGUUUUUGAGGCCUUUGCCCGUGUGAUUGUUUCGUGCUUAUGGGAGGUGAUGUUGCUUAGUUAUGUUCAAGGCAUUGUUUAGCUGUGUCCUGUAUUGGAUUUUGUUUGUAGCACAUGACAAUUUUUGUUUUUUCGAAAACUCUGGUUCUUCUAUGUAAGAAAUUUCAUUUCAAGUUUAAUCAAUCACAACUCAGCUUCUAGCUAUAAAUCACAUGGGCUGUUAUUUCAUAUGGAAUAAUGCACAUAAAUUACUGCUCAAUCACCAACAUUUACCCUUGAUUA